rnacentral:rRNA from 1 species
UGGGGAAUUUUGGACAAUGGGCGCAAGCCUGAUCCAGCCAUGCCGCGUGCAGGAUGAAGGCCCUCGGGUUGUAAACUGCUUUUGUACGGAACGAAAAGCCUCUUUCUAAUAAAGAGGGGUGAUGACGGUACCGUAAGAAUAAGCACCGGCUAACUACGUGCCAGCAGCCGCGGUAAUACGUAGGGGGCAAGCGUUGUCCGGAUUUACUGGGUGUAAAGGGUGCUCAGGCGGAUUUGUAAGUCAGAGGUGAAAUCUUACAGCUUAACUGUGAAACUGCCUUUGAUACUGCAAGCCUAGAGUAUGGAAGAGAGUGAUGGAAUAUCUGGUGUAGCAGUGAAAUGCGUAGAUAUCAGAUAGAACACCAAUGGCGAAGGCAGUCACUUGGUCCAUUACUGACGCUAAAGCACGAAAGCGUGGGUAGCAAACA